CUCUCCUAAAAUGUACAUCGUAUUUUCCCCUGCAAUCAAGUGUGACGGCAGAUUGGACCCCCAUAUUCCGCACUGUCCCGCCUCAGGGUUGGGUCGGCUGCCUCUCCUACAUUGUUUCCUUCCCGGCCCGCCUCCUCUCCUAGAGUGAAGGGAUUUCCAGCCAAUUCCAGACAACAAUGCAGUAGGGCGGACAUGUUCUGUGUGCCAAGGAUCACCUUCAGUAGCUGCAAUAUCCUGGCAGCCUCCUGUCUCUGGCUGCUGCGCUUGAAUGAUGAAGGCUCCUACUGCUUGUGCUGCCGGUUUUGUCAAAGCCAUAGUAUGCAGGUGGUCUGAUAUCCUAGCAAAACACCUCUUACAGCUGCAGGGGUAAGGUGUGCUACACAAGUAGACGCUGGCUGGCACCUUCUCCCCUGCAAAGCAUAUUUCGUUGGAAGUCCGUCUGGAAUGUGAAAAGCAUAGGAUGAGUUAAAUCUACUGUGUAGCUCAGUAGUUGCACCUGAUGAGUUUGUGCUCUGCCAAAUGUGACAAUGCUGUACUUCCUUCACAGUGAACCGACACCUUCAGAAACAGCAAAGCAGGAAUUUCAGUGGUUUAUUGCUUUCCUUGCCAUUCACAUGCAUUCCUGGUUAGAGAGCAGUUUAGCUGAUGUCGGCAAACAAAAUGUGCCCUCUUGUGGCCCAGUGCGCUGGUAAUGCAACUAAAUAUGACAAGCCAAAUGGUUAUAACUGAUAAACAAUGCAUUUUAGAAGUGCCUGGACUUUUUGGCUCUAUUGGGAACAAGAAACUGAAAAGCUUAUGAAAUACAUGUAUGGAAAUGCACAUGUUUUAGAAACAUUUUCCUGGAGUUUGUGAUAGCCUUGAUUUAUUUAUUGCACUUAUUCUCUGAAUUUGUUUGCAAUGUUGCAGUUGUAUGCUUAAGAGCAAAGAAUUAAAAUAUAUAUUUACUUAUAAUAAAAUGAUGCUAUUUAAUGUA